UGCAGUCGAGCGGCAGCGACAACAUUGAACCUUCGGGGGAUUUGUUGGGCGGCGAGCGGCGGACGGGUGAGUAAUGCCUAGGAAAUUGCCCUGAUGUGGGGGAUAACCAUUGGAAACGAUGGCUAAUACCGCAUGAUGCCUACGGGCCAAAGAGGGGGACCUUCGGGCCUCUCGCGUCAGGAUAUGCCUAGGUGGGAUUAGCUAGUUGGUGAGGUAAGGGCUCACCAAGGCGACGAUCCCUAGCUGGUCUGAGAGGAUGAUCAGCCACACUGGAACUGAGACACGGUCCAGACUCCUACGGGAGGCAGCAGUGGGGAAUAUUGCACAAUGGGCGCAAGCCUGAUGCAGCCAUGCCGCGUGUAUGAAGAAGGCCUUCGGGUUGUAAAGUACUUUCAGUAGGGAGGAAGGUUCAUACGUUAAUAGCGUAUGGAUUUGACGUUACCUACAGAAGAAGCACCGGCUAACUCCGUGCCAGCAGCCGCGGUAAUACGGAGGGUGCGAGCGUUAAUCGGAAUUACUGGGCGUAAAGCGCAUGCAGGUGGUUAGUUAAGUCAGAUGUGAAAGCCCGGGGCUCAACCUCGGAAUUGCAUUUGAAACUGGCUGACUAGAGUACUGUAGAGGGGGGUAGAAUUUCAGGUGUAGCGGUGAAAUGCGUAGAGAUCUGAAGGAAUACCGGUGGCGAAGGCGGCCCCCUGGACAGAUACUGACACUCAGAUGCGAAAGCGUGGGGAGCAAACAGGAUUAGAUACCCUGGUAGUCCACGCCGUAAACGAUGUCUACUUGGAGGUUGUGGCCUUGAGCCGUGGCUUUCGGAGCUAACGCGUUAAGUAGACCGCCUGGGGAGUACGGUCGCAAGAUUAAAACUCAAAUGAAUUGACGGGGGCCCGCACAAGCGGUGGAGCAUGUGGUUUAAUUCGAUGCAACGCGAAGAACUUACUACUCUUGACAUCCAUAGAAUUAGCAGAGAUGCUUUGGUGCCUUCGGGAAUAUGAGACAGGUGCUGCAUGGCGUCGUCAGCUCGUGUUGUGAAAUGUUGGGUUAAGUCCCGCAACGAGCGCAACCCUUAUCCUUGUUUGCCAGCGAGUAAUGUCGGGAACUCCAGGGAGACUGCCGGUGAUAAACCGGAGGAAGGUGGGGAGACGUCAAGUCAUCAUGGCCCUACGAGUAGGGUACACACGUGCUACAAUGGCGUAUACAGAGGGCUGCCAACCAGCGAUGGUGAGCGAAUCCCAAAAAAUACGUCGUAGUCCGGAUUGGAGUCUGCAACUCGACUCCAGAAGUCGGAAUCGCUAGUAAUCGUGGAUCAGAAUGCCACGGUGAAUACGUUCCCGGGCCUUGUACACACCGCCCGUCACACCAGGGAGUGGGCUGCAAAAGAAGUGGGUAGUUUAACC
rnacentral:rRNA from 1 species